AUUGUUGUCAAAUGUAAUCUUCUCAUACAAUUAGCCCAGUUUCAUAGAUGUAGUACAGACCUGGUCUACACUGAAGAAAGAUACUAACGUAUUUCAGGGAGUAGGGAAAAGACUCUGACAGAACCCGUAACACCCCUGAAUUUCAAAGGAUGAGGUUGGGCCAGCAACAACUGAAAAUUUUAAUGUUCUCAUUCAUUCAUUCAUUCAUUCAACAAAUAUGUACAUACCAUGUGCCAGGCACUGACCUAUAUACACUGAAAUUAUAAUGGUAAAGAAAACAGCUGUGGCUUCUACCCUGUAAAUAGGGGUUUUACAACCACACAAUUGUAACAGAGAGUGAUAAGUGUUCUAAUGGAUACAGGUUGCCUUGGGAGCAUAAAGUAGGAGAGCAGAGAACUAUAUUCUGCAGGUCCAGUUGGGGAUGGUAUGUUUCUUUGGCAAGCCACAAUUAUGAGACCUAAUGAGAGCCCAUGUCAAGGCAGUGUAAUUUUUUUUUUUACAUUUUAUUUUCCAACAAACUUACCCCUUCAAACCACCUAAGGUUGCAUUUAUAACAAGAAUUUAUCAUCCAAAUAUUAACAGUAAUGGCAGCAUUUGUCUCGGCAUUUGAAGAUCACAGUGGUCUCCUGCUUUAACUAUUUCUAAAGUUCUCUUAUCCAUUUGUUCACUGCUAUGUGAUCCAAACCCAGAUGACCUCCUAGUGCCAGAGACUUUAUAGAUCUAUAAAACAGAGAUAAGUACAACAGAAUAUCUUGAGAAUAAACUCAGAAGUAUGCCAUGUGAUGCUACCUUAAAGUCAGAAUAACUUGCAGUAUAGCUGAAUAAACUUUAAAUUACCAUUAACAGAGAGAGAGAAAAUGACUUUACAUGUUAACUGGGUUGUAUGUGAGUGUGUAUAUGUGUGGAAACGUGUACAGGAAGAAGGAAGAGUGGGGAGUAUUUCAGGCAGAAGUAAGUGUAUGUGUAUCAGUUUGAAUAGAAGAGAAAGCAUGCCUCAUUUGAGUCAAUGAAAAAAAAUCAGUGUGGUUCACUUCUAAGGCACGGAUCAGGGGAGAUAUGGCAGGAGAGGGAGUUAUAUACAGAGCGUUGGAACUCUAUCCAAAGACAAGGAGGACCCACUGAAGCAUUUUAAGCAAAGAAAGAACACGAUCCCAUUUGUGUCUCAGAAAGCCCACUUGCUGCUGUGAGGAGGAUGGGCUGAACUCCACCUCACCCCUCCAGGUCAAUAGCAAUUUAAAGCCCUGAGGAGUCCCAGGGUGCCUGUGGCCGCUAUAGCAACGAGAGAGUCUGCGGUGCAUCUGGGGCAAAUUCCGGAUGCAGCAGCACCAAAGAGCAUCCAGACUCAGCCACUGUAUGGAGAGCAAUGGAUGCUGUGCCAAUGCUGGAUGUUCAGAAAGCUGACCCCUGGCACAAAGGCUUCUCCACACAAGAAGAAGAAAACAGUGCCAAGCUUCAGUCCCCCUGCUAGGAGGCCCACACUCUGGUUCUCUCGCCGCCUUCUUGGGUUGCUGGGCUGUUAAACCAGUUUACAUAAAGAGCCCCUCACCUCACUGUGGCCCCUCACCUCACUGCAGCGCUCCAAAAAGAAUCAACUGACAGUAUUUACAGGCAAGCAGUUACUAUGAGCAGAAUGAGUAAAAUGGAAAACAAAUAAACAAACAAACACGGGACCUAUUAAAACAUUCUGCAAUAUGAAAGAUGGGGAAGGUACCCCUUAAGAUGUAGAUGAAGAGCAUACCUGUGAAAAAAGUUCCCUCCCAGAAUAGAAAGAAUUGGCUCUGUAUUCUCAAGAAAUGUAGAAAAUGUAGGUUUUAAAAAGAAAUGAAAAAUAAUACAAGAUGUCAGACUCUGAUGAAGGACAGGCUGAGAACAAAGCAGAAUUACAGAGGACCUAGAUGCAAUGAGUAAAUAUGAUAA